GCCAGCGUGGCGCAACUGGUAGCGCACCUCACUUGUAAUGAGGAUGUUGGGGGUUCAAGUCCUCUCGCUGGCUCCA
rnacentral:tRNA from 2 species